rnacentral:rRNA from 1 species
ACGGCUCAGUAACACGUGGACAGCCUACCCUGAGGUCGGGGAUAAACCCGGGAAACUGGGUAUAAUACCCGAUAGAUCUAGAUUGCUGGAAUGCUUUUAGGUCUAAAGUUCCGACGCCUCAGGAUGGGUCUGCGGCCUAUCAGGGUAGUAGUGGGUGUAAAGUACCUACUAGCCUACGACGGGUACGGGUUGUGAGAGCAAGAGCCCGGAGAUGGAUUCUGAGACACGAAUCCAGGCCCUACGGGGUGCAGCAGGCGCGAAACCUUUACAAUGCUGGCAACAGCGAUAAGGGGACCUCGAGUGCUACGAUACAAUCGUGGCUGUCUAGUUGCCUAAAAAGCAAUUGAUAGCAAGGGCCGGGCAAGACCGGUGCCAGCCGCCGCGGUAACACCGGCGGCUCGAGUGGUAACCGCUAUUAUUGGGUCUAAAGGGUCUGUAGCCGGCUUAGUUAGUCUCUUGAGAAAUCUGGCCGCUCAACGGUCAGGCGUUCAGGGGAUACUGCUAAAGCUCGAGACCGGGAGAGGUGAGAGGUACUUCAGGGGUAGGGGUGAAAUCUUGUAAUCCUUGAAGGACCACCAGUGGCGAAGGCGUCUCACCAGAACGGAUCUGACGGCAAGGGACGAAAGCUAGGGGCACGAACCGGAUUAGAUACCCGGGUAGUCCUAGCCGUAAACGAUACUCGCUAGGUGUCGGCCACGGUACGACCGUGGUCGGUGCCGUAGGGAAGCCGUGAAGCGAGCCACCUGGGAAGUACGGCCGCAAGGCUGAAACUUAAAGGAAUUGGCGGGGGAGCAC